AAAUGAAAAAAUACUGGGAGAUGUGAUUCAUCAGUGGGAAUGGUUUACCUUAGGAUGGUUGAAGUGACUACUGUUCUCUCUAUGCUUCUUGGUCCUGUUGCAGAGACAGCUCAGCUAGCAGUAAAGUACCUGUGAACUGCUGUAACCUGACUGAUUAAGAAAAUCCUGUACAGAUUUUGGCUCUUCAAUACUUCAGGCUAUACUUAAGACAGUCUGGAUGCUCCUCCACAAUCAGCUAAGCUGUCCGUGACACAGCUUCCUUCCAUCUCUCAGGACUGAUGUGAUGCAGCAGGCUGCCCUCCAGGUCCCACCGCUACCCAAGUCCCCACCUCGCUCUGCCCGGCUCACCACUCCAGGAAUGGUUGAAAGAACAGAAACAUUGGACUUCUGACCUCCAUAGAGAAAAUGAUGAGCUUUGGCUCAUUUCUAUCAAUCACUCAGCAAUCUCAAGACACU
rnacentral:lncRNA from 1 species